AUCUGGUUAGCACAUUCUUUUAGAAAAUGAAGCAGAUGCUUUUUGGUGCUUUCAACGAGCUAUGCGGAAAUUGAGAGAGAAUUUCAGGUCUGAUGCGAACUCUAUGGGAGUGCAAACUCAGUUGCGUGCCCUUUCAGGAAUUGUUAGAGUUAUUGAUCCAAAGCUUCAUCAACACCUUGGUUGGAAAAUCAUGGAUUGGACCCAAAUGCUGAAAUUGUUCCCAAGGGACCAAUAACUGGGAAAAUCGAUCCACGGGCAAUGCAUGGAACUCCUUAGCAUUGUCUCCAAAAAGUGAUGGUGGCAGUGGUACUCGACCAUCAACUGCAGCUAGCGAUAGAGGGCAUGAACCUGUUCC